ACAACUGAUCAAGGUGAUGAACGUGAACCUGGAACUAGCUCAUGUUUAAUUGCGCUAGUUUUUGCUCUCUCUAGCCACUAAGCUAGAAGUUUAAUGUGUAAUUAAAGAACUAAAUGCUUCUUAUGGAAAACCAAAAGGUCCUUUGAAAAGAGCUCAGGGAGACACGGAAGUAUAGUAAAGGGUUGUUGGAUUUCUUGCGCUUUCUGAGUCUGAAGCAAAGACAAAGAUUGGUAAUUACAGACAUAAUGGAUGGAAAAAGUCCAGACCUUGGGGUUUUUAGAUGAGUCAAUAUUAAAUGGCAUUCUUUGUGUCACUAAGCUGAACUCCCUUGUCUUCUAAGGAAGCAUUUCUAAUGCCAGAGGUAGUCAGCCAAGCUAGGUUCCUUAUCUUUUUAGUUCUAUGGAAAAACAUAUCAAGUUCUCUUAUGAGUGCUUUCCUGGAAAUCAGAUGAGAAAGAAAAAAAAGUAACAAUGUAACAAAUCAUUGUGAUGUUGUUAUAUUGUCGACAGAUAAAGGAUGGAUUUGAUCCUGCGUCUGAAACUAAGUAGGUAAUGGUAUCUACAAUAUAGAUCAUGCAAAAAGCUUGUGACCCUUCAACUGCAUGGAAGAGUGGGAGGAAACAACUAAGUGGGAGGAAACAAAUCUCAAAGUUCAACACCAUAAAACUUAAAUAAAUGUAAAAGGAGUCAAACUUUUACUUGGCCUCAUUGCCUUGGUAAAAGAAAGCUUCAUGUAUCCACCUAAUUCAAUAAGAGAGUCCUAGGAAAAGGAAGGCAAAAUACUUUAAAGGCACACAAAAAUAUUUCACUGGGGUGGUCAACAUGAUUAAGUGAUGGAGAUUAGAUUUAUCACUGAUGAAAACAGUAUUUAUAGAGUUAUUUUUAGACACUAUACCCCCUAGAUGCAAAUCCCAACAUGCACUGUGGUUGGCCGGAGAAUUGUGGCCACAUAGUAAACAGAUCUUGAUUUCAGAGAAUGAAAUGUUCCUACCGACUUUGUGUAAUUGCCCAUUUCAAGAUUAAGGCUCAGUGCCCAUUGUUUUAACACCGAUCAUCAAUACUGUGAUAUCAACUAAGCCAAUCUUUAUAAGAAUAUGAAGGGCUGUUUUUCUCAGGCAAUGUAAAUAUCUGCUACCAACAAGCACUAGUGAAAUAAACAUGUAAUCAUCAUCGUUUCUAAAACUCUGAUAGAAAUCACAAAACAUUCAAGCAAAAGGGCAAGGUCUUCCAGGAGCCUAGGAGCAGACUUUUGGCUACAAAGAGCCUAGUCCAGGCUGAAUGCCUUAUGGAGUAUGUCAGUCUUGGGUCUUAUCACUAAACACAACUAGUAGAACUCGAUCAACUGGAGUGCAGAGAUCAGAGUUUCGGUCAGCCGUGCAUUACCCAAACCUCUGGGUCUUCAGCCAGUCUUCUUAGAAGAGGGGAAGGAGCACUGUCCUCAGAUCCGGCCAUCACGGGCAUCGCCCUGACAUCAUCUCUCAGCAUUGCUGACUGUGGGCAUGGGUAUGAGAAAUACCCUCCCGUAGCUCAGACUUGGGCAGAACAAAAUCCUCAGCCAUGCCCACCCACUGAGGUCUCUCUAGGGGAGCUUCUCCCUGCAGGGUCUGGCUCUUGCCCAUCUGGACAAUGACCCCCUAGAAGUAUCUUCCGGGGGACCCUGUAUCUUUCAAGCUUAACUUGCCCCACACCCUUGACCCCACAGAGCACCUCCCUGGGUCAGGAAUGAUGACUAAAUUAAGACCUUUAGCAUCUGCUAAGCACAGGGGUGCCCUCCCAUGUGAAAGUCCAAGUAAAAUAAAUGGAGUCAGGGUAAGGAAAUCCCCAAAAGUUCUGAUUUUCUCAUGGUGAUGAUCUCAGUGCUUUUCUUUUUCAUGACAUAUCUAAUUCUCUUUUCUCUAGGAAGUCUCACGUUUUGGUAUCACGAUGCCGUGGGCACAGACUCAGUCAUCGGGCCAAUGGCAGAACUCUCUCCAGAUAGUCUGACCUGGUCCCUCUUUUUGAGUAAGGCUGGGAGUUUGGUUUGUUUGAGCCACCCCACAACCAAUAGAAUCCCACCCUGGCUAAGAAAUCUCACAAGGCCGGGUGCUGUGGCUCACACCUGUAAUCUCAGCACUUUGGGAGGCCAAGGUGGCAGAUCACCUGAGGCCAGGAGUUUGAGACCAGCCUGGCCAAUAUGGUAAUACCCCGCCUCUACUAAAAAUAUGAAAAAGUUAGCUGGGCAUGGUAGUUCCUGCCUGUACACCCAGCUACUCUGGAGGCUGAGGCACAAGAAUAGCUUAAACUUGGGAGGGGGAGGUUGCAGUAAGCUGAGAUCAUGCCACUGCACUCCAGCCUGGGCCACGGAGCGAGACUCAGUCUCAAAAAAAGAAAGAAAAGAAGGAAGGAAGGAAGGAAGGAAGGAAGGAAGGAAGGAAGGAAGGAAGGAAAAAAGAUAAAGAAAGAAGGAAGGAAGGAAGGAAAGAAAGAAGGAAGGAAGGAAGAA
rnacentral:lncRNA from 1 species